UAAUACGGAGGGUGCAAGCGUUAAUCGGAAUUACUGGGCGUAAAGCGCGCGUAGGCGGAUGCUUAAGUCGGAUGUGAAAGCCCAGGGCUCAACCUUGGAAUUGCAUUCGAUACUGGGCAUCUAGAGUACAGUAGAGGGUGGUAGAAUUUCUUGUGUAGCAGUGAAAUGCGUAGAUAUAAGAAGGAAUAUCAGUGGCGAAGGCGGCCACCUGGACUGAUACUGACGCUGAGGUGCGAAAGCGUGGGGAGCAAACGGGAUUAGAUACCCCGGUAGUCCACGCCGUAAACGAUGUCUACUAGCCGUUGGGAGACUUGAUCUCUUAGUGGCGCAGCUAACGCAUUAAGUAGACCGCCUGGGGAGUACGGUCGCAAGAUUA
rnacentral:rRNA from 1 species